UUCUGAUGGCGACCGGCGCACGGGUGCGUAACGCGUAUGCAACCUACCUGUAACAGGGGGAUAACACUGAGAAAUCGGUACUAAUACCGCAUAACACUAUGAGAGGCAUCUCUUGUGGUUGAAAGUUUCGGCGGUUACAGAUGGGCAUGCGUUGUAUUAGCUGGUUGGUAAGGUAACGGCUUACCAAGGCGACGAUACAUAGGGGGACUGAGAGGUUAACCCCCCACAUUGGUACUGAGACACGGACCAAACUCCUACGGGAGGCAGCAGUGAGGAAUAUUGGUCAAUGGACGGAAGUCUGAACCAGCCAUGCCGCGUGCAGGAAGACGGCUCUAUGAGUUGUAAACUGCUUUUGUACAAGGGUAAACCUGAAUACGUGUAUUCAGCUGAAGGUACUGUACGAAUAAGGAUCGGCUAACUCCGUGCCAGCAGCCGCGGUAAUACGGAGGAUCCAAGCGUUAUCCGGAUUUAUUGGGUUUAAAGGGUGCGUAGGCGGAUUGAUAAGUUAGAGGUGAAAUGUCCGAGCUUAACUCGGGAACUGCCUCUAAUACUGUUGAUCUAGAGAGUAGAUGCGGUAGGCGGAAUGUAUGGUGUAGCGGUGAAAUGCUUAGAGAUCAUACAGAACACCGAUUGCGAAGGCAGCUUACCAAUCUAUAUCUGACGUUGAGGCACGAAAGCGUGGGGAGCAAACAGGAUUAGAUACCCUGGUAGUCCACGCAGUAAACGAUGAUAGCUCGUUGU
rnacentral:rRNA from 1 species